AACGAACGCUGGCGGCAGGCUUAACACAUGCAAGUCGAACGGUUGUAGCAAUACAGCAGUGGCGCACGGGUGAGUAACGCGUGGAUAUCUGCCUUUUGGUUCGGAAUAACUCCGGGAAACUGGAGCUAAUACCGGAUGGUUCCUACGGGAUAAAGAUUUAUCGCCAAAAGAUGAGUCCGCGUACGAUUAGCUAGUUGGUGGGGUAAUGGCCCACCAAGGCGACGAUCGUUAGCUGGUCUGAGAGGACGAUCAGCCACACUGGGACUGAGACACGGCCCAGACUCCUACGGGAGGCAGCAGUGGGGAAUAUUGGACAAUGGGCGAAAGCCUGACGCAGCGACGCCGCAUGAAGGAAGACGGCCUUCGGGUUGUAAACUUCUUUUUUAGGGGACGAUUGUGACGGUACCCUAAGAAUAAGGACCUGCUAACUACGUGCCAGCCGCCGCAGUAA
rnacentral:rRNA from 1 species